CCUACGGGAGGCAGCAGUCGAGAAUCAUUCACAAUGGGGGAAACCCUGAUGGUGCGACGCCGCGUGGGGGAAUGCAGGUCUUCGGAUUGUAAACCCCUGUCAUGUGGGAGCAAAUUAAAAAGAUAGUACCACAAGAGGAAGAGACGGCUAACUCUGUGCCAGCAGCCGCGGUAAUACAGAGGUCUCAAGCGUUGUUCGGAAUCACUGGGCGUAAAGCGUUCGUAGGCUGUUUCGUAAGUCGUGUGUGAAAGGCGCGGGCUCAACCCGCGGACGGCACAUGAUACUGCGAGACUAGAGUAAGGGAGGGGGAACCGGAAUUCUCGGUGUAGCAGUGAAAUGCGUAGAUAUCGAGAGGAACACUGGUGGCGAAGGCGGGUUCCUGGACAUUAACUGACGCUGAGGCACGAAGGCCAGGGGAGCGAAAGGGAUUAGAUACCCUAGUAGUC
rnacentral:rRNA from 1 species